GACGAACGCUGGCGGCGUGCUUAACACAUGCAAGUCGAACGGAAACGCCCUGCUUUUUUGGUGUUCUCGAUUGGCGAACGGGUGCGUAACACGUGUGUAACCUGCUCUUGACUUUGGUGUAACUUCACGUAACUGGGGCUACUACCGUAUAGCAUCUCCUGCUGCAUGGUGAGGGUUGGAUAUUUUCGGCGGUUGGGGUUGGAUUCGCGGCUUAUCAGUUUGCUGGUGGGGUAGUUGCUUACCAAGGCUUUGACGGAUAGCCGGCAUGAGAGGGUGAACGGCCACAUUGGGACUGAGAUACGGAGCAGACUGCUAUAGGAGGCAGCAGGGGGGAAUAUUGCACAAUGAGCGGAAGCCGGAGAAAGAAACGCCGGGGGUGGAAAGACGGCCUGAGGGUUGAGAACAGCUGUCGCCUGUGACGAAGCGGGAGUGACGGUAAUGAGUAAAGAAGCACCGGCUAACUACGUG
rnacentral:rRNA from 1 species